GACGAACGCUGGCGGCGUGCUUAACACAUGCAAGUCGAACGGAAAGGCCCUGCUUGCAGGGUACUCGAGUGGCGAACGGGUGAGUAACACGUGGGUGAUCUGCCCUGCACUUCGGGAUAAGCCUGGGAAACUGGGUCUAAUACCGGAUAGGAGCCAUUUUUAGUGUGAUGGUUGGAAAGUUUUUUCGGUGUAGGAUGAGCUCGCGGCCUAUCAGCUUGUUGGUGGGGUAAUGGCCUACCAAGGCGGCGACGGGUAGCCGGCCUGAGAGGGUGGACGGCCACUUGGGGCUUAAGGUCCGCCCCAGCCUCCAACGGGGGGCACCGGGGGGAAUAUUGCACAAUGGGCGCAAGCCUGAUGCAGCGACGCCGCGUGGGGGAUGACGGCCUUCGGGUUGUAAACUCCUUUCGCUAGGGACGAAGCUUUUUGUGACGGUACCUAGAUAAGAAGCACCGGCUAACUACGUG
rnacentral:rRNA from 1 species